GUCUCUUGGGAGAUAUCCGAUAAAAUUAGAACGAUACCAAAAAUUAAGUUAGCAUAGCCUCUACGCAAAGAUAAUACGUACAACUCGAGAACUGGUCCACAUUUUC